CCCUUUGGUAUUCCGAGGGCAUGCCUGUUUGAGUAUCAUGAACACCUCAACUCUUCAUGGUUUUCCAUGAUGAGCUUGGACUUUGGGGGGUCUUGCUGGCCUGCGGUCAGCUCCUCUCAAAUGAAUCAGCUUACCAGUGUUUGGUGGGCAUCACAGGUGUGAUAACUAUCUGCGCUUGUGGUUUUCCACCAAGUAACCUUCAACAGUGGAGGUUCACUGGAGCUCACAGACGUCUCUCCUCAGUGAGGACAGCCCUUUGAAUGUUUGAUCUCAAAUCAGGUAGGACUACCCGCUGAACUUAAGCAUAUCAAUAAGCGGAGG
rnacentral:rRNA from 1 species